rnacentral:rRNA from 1 species
AGUAACACGUGGAUAACCUACCUAUAAGACUGGGAUAACUUCGGGAAACCGGAGCUAAUACCGGAUAAUAUUUUGAACCGCAUGGUUCAAAAGUGAAAGACGGUCUUGCUGUCACUUAUAGAUGGAUCCGCGCUGCAUUAGCUAGUUGGUAAGGUAACGGCUUACCAAGGCAACGAUGCAUAGUCGACCUGAGAGGGUGAUCGGCCACACUGGAACUGAGACACGGUCCAG